CUCUCUAUCGUGCUCCCUCACAGUUCCCACAAUUCCCAGCACAGAAUGAUGUGGCUGUGCUGGGAAUUGUGGGAACCGCGAGGGAGCAUGAUAGAGA
rnacentral:miRNA from 1 species